rnacentral:rRNA from 1 species
ACGGGUGAGUAAUGCCUAGGAAUCUGCCUGGUAGUGGGGGACAACGUUUCGAAAGGAACGCUAAUACCGCAUACGUCCUACGGGAGAAAGCAGGGGACCUUCGGGCCUUGCGCUAUCAGAUGAGCCUAGGUCGGAUUAGCUUGUUGGUGAGGUAAUGGCUCACCAAGGCGACGAUCCGUAACUGGUCUGAGAGGAUGAUCAGUCACACUGGAACUGAGACACGGUCCAGACUCCUACGGGAGGCAGCAGUGGGGAAUAUUGGACAAUGGGCGAAAGCCUGAUCCAGCCAUGCCGCGUGUGUGAAGAAGGUCUUCGGAUUGUAAAGCACUUUAAGUUGGGAGGAAGGGUUGUAGAUUAAUACUCUGCAAUUUUGACGUUACCGACAGAAUAAGCACCGGCUAACUCUGUGCCAGCAGCCGCGGUAAUACAGAGGGUGCAAGCGUUAAUCGGAAUUACUGGGCGUAAAGCGCGCGUAGGUGGUUUGUUAAGUUGGAUGUGAAAGCCCCGGGCUCAACCUGGGAACUGCAUCCAAAACUGGCAAGCUAGAGUACGGUAGAGGGUGGUGGAAUUUCCUGUGUAGCGG